CCUACGGGAGGCAGCAGUGAGGAAUAUUGGUCAAUGGACGAGAGUCUGAACCAGCCAAGUAGCGUGAAGGAUGACUGCCCUAUGGGUUGUAAACUUCUUUUAUAUGGGAAUAAAAUGUUCCACGUGUGGGAUUUUGUAUGUACCAUAUGAAUAAGGAUCGGCUAACUCCGUGCCAGCAGCCGCGGUAAUACGGAGGAGCCGAGCGUUAUCCGGAUUUAUUGGGUUUAAAGGGAGCGUAGGUGGAUUGUUAAGUCAGUUGUGAAAGUUUGCGGCUCAACCGUAAAAUUGCAGUUGAAACUGGAAGUCUUGAGUACAGUAGAGGUGGGCGGAAUUCGUGGUGUAGCGGUGAAAUGCUUAGAUAUCACGAAGAACUCCGAUUGCGAAGGCAGCUCACUGGACUGCAACUGACACUGAGGCUCGAAAGUGUGGGUAUCAAACAGGAUUAGAUACCCCAGUAGUC
rnacentral:rRNA from 1 species